CAGCCGCCGCGGGAAUACGGAGGGCGCGAGCGUUACCCGGAUUUACUGGGCGUAAAGGGCGUGUAGGCGGCCUGGGGCGUCCCAUGUGAAAGGCCACGGCUCAACCGUGGAGGAGCGUGGGAUACGCUCAGGCUAGAGGGUGGGAGAGGGUGGUGGAAUUCCCGGAGUAGCGGUGAAAUGCGCAGAUACCGGGAGGAACGCCGAUGGCGAAGGCAGCCACCUGGUCCACUUCUGACGCUCAUGCACGAAAGCGUGGGGAGCAAACAGGAUUAGAUACCCCUGUAGUCCCUGUCUCUUAUAA
rnacentral:rRNA from 1 species